rnacentral:lncRNA from 1 species
CCCAUGGCUUGAUGCAGUUGUCUUACGAAGGUCAUAUCUUCCUCAUUUCAGCUCCAAAUCGUACACGGUUUAAAUCUUUGGAUUCUUGACUUCCUGAGCUUUGAAAUGGUAUAUAGAAUGUAGAAAAUGGACUUCGGGAAGUGCUCCAAAAGUGUGAAGGAAGACUGCAGCUAUUGUCCUCUGUUUUCUUCACUUUGCUUGAUUUUCCUCUUUGCUUCUCUUUGCUUCUCUCCUUUGCUUGGCUUGUCUUAAUGAUCCAAAAAGCUGUCAAAAUACUAAAACUAGCCACAAAUAUGAUUAGAAGUCAUUGCUAGGUCCUUAACAUGCCAAUUGGAAUAAAGAUGGAGAACUACUAUACAAAAGUGCUUAAAACAUAAUGAAUUAAAGGUGUAAAAUAGCACUUUUUAGGUAGUAAUCA